CUAAAUGAAAUACUGGUUGUGAAUUAUAUUUGUAAUAAUAAAAAUAUAAUACACAUUGAAAAUAUAUUUUAUGAUAAAAAACAAGAUAUACUAGUGAUUAUUUUCCCAUACAUAAAAUAUCAAUCAAUGUAUUAUAAAAACAAAUAUAAUAUAUAUUCUGUUAAUAAAAAAAUAACCAUAGUAAAUAAAAAAAAGUUAAAAAUAUUUUUAUAUUCAGAAACGUUUAUUAAAAAUUUAUUUAUUAAGUUACAUACUAUUCUUAGCUAUUUAUUGAAAAAAAAUAUAGCAUAUGUAGAUUUUAAACCUGAUAACAUCCUUUUGAUAGAUAGAAAUCCCCAAAUAAUACAAACGUACACGAUUCAGUUAAAAAAACAAAAAAAAAAAUCGAAAAAAGAUAUAUUAGAACAGGAUAUGCAAUUACCAAAUAUAGAAACACUAAUGCAAAACGAAAUAAAUAAAAACACAAAUAAAAAAGUGGAAAAAAAAAAUGAUAGUAAAGAUAUCACAACUUUAUUCAACAAAAACAUUUUUGCUAAUAAAAAAAAAAAAAAAUACAUAUAUAUGAAUAUAUCAUCCUAUUGCUCUUAUUAUAAUUUAAGUACUAAGAAAAUAAAAAAUAACAAAAUUAAAUACAUAUAUAAUAUUAAUUUAUCGAAAUGUUUUGAGUAUGAUCAAAAUGUAAAAAAUAUAUUUUUUAUAAAAAAUAAAUUAAAUGAUUUUUCUUUUUUGCUAGACAAUGUUGACAUAUUUAUACAAAUUUUUAUUCAAAAAAAAAAAGGGAAAAGCGAAAGAAAACAAACAAAUGAAGAAAAGUGGUUAGAUAAGAAAUGUAGUGCUGGUGAGUUAAGUAGCCAAAGUAGCACAAAUAAAUUAAACAGUUUUCGUUACCCCUGUUGUAGCAAAACACGCACAACAAACUUCCCUGUUCCAAAACGAUGUCCAAUAAACAAAAUACAAAAUAAAUCUUUUUUUAAAUAUGAUAAAAAAAAUUCCAUAAAUUUUUUAACUUUAUACUGGCUAUAUUUUAAUAAUGUCCCAAGUUUAAAUAUUAAUAAAGACAUAUUAACUUAUUUAGAUUUAUAUUUUAUAGAUAAAUAUUUUUGUAAAGACAUGCAUAUAUAUAUUCAUGAUUUAAGCAUUUAUAAACAGCCAACAUUUCAGAAAGACACUACUCAUAUGGACACAGAAAAAUUGUGUAAGAUUGAACACACUGCUAAACGCAACAUUAAUAGUGUUGCUACCAGUAGUGAUAAUGCGAAUUGCAAAAAAAAUAAAAUAAAUACUGAAAAAGGUAAAAAUUACGCACUAAAAAAACAGGUUACACAAGAAAAUCUUUGUUUGUCAGAAAAUUUUUCACAAAAUAUCAAUACGCAAGAUACAAAUUUAAUCAAAUUAAUAGAUUUCGAUACAUGUUUUUUCAUUCAAAAAAAUAAAAGUAUACAAACACGAACAACAGACAUUUUUAACUCUUUCGAAUGUUUAUUUAAUGUUAAUAACAACAACUUUGAUCUAUUCAAAAGAAUGUCAUAUAUCUUUGGUUCAGUCCUAUAUACAUUUGUAUAUGGAAAAACCCCAUACUUGUAAACACUUCAAUAUGAACAUAUUUAUUUUGUAUGAGCAACAUCAA
rnacentral:lncRNA from 1 species